UACGUAGGGGGCGAGCGUUGUCCGGAUUCAUUGGGCGUAAAGAGCUCGUAGGCGGCUUGGCAAGUCGGAUGUGAAAACUCCAGGCUCAACCUGGAGCCGCCAUUCGAUACUGCUAUGGCUAGAGUCCGGUAGGGGAGUGUGGAAUUCCCGGUGUAGCGGUGAAAUGCGCAGAUAUCAGGAGGAACACCGGUGGCGAAGGCGGGACUCUGGGCCGAUACUGACGCUGAGGAGCGAAAGCGUGGGGAGCAAACAGG
rnacentral:rRNA from 1 species